GAUGAAGAACGUAGCGAAAUGCGAUAAGUAGUGUGAAUUGCAGAAUUCAGUGAAUCAUCGAAUCUUUGAACGCACAUUGCGCCCCUUGGUAUCCCGAGGGGCAUGCCUGUUCGAGCGUCAUUUCACCACUCAAGCCUGGCUUGGUGUUGGGCGACGUCGUCUUUGGGGACGCGCCUCGAAACGCUCGGCGGCGUGGCACCGGCUUUAAGCGUAGCAGAAUCUUUCGCUUUGGAAGUCGGGGCCCCGUCUGCCGGAAGACCUGCUCGCAAGGUUGACCUCGGAUCAGGCAGGGAUACCCGCUGAACUUAAGCAUAUCAAUAAGCGGAGGA
rnacentral:misc_RNA from 1 species